rnacentral:rRNA from 1 species
GCGGUAAUACGUAGGGCGCAAGCGUUAUCCGGAAUUAUUGGGCGUAAAGAGCUCGUAGGCGGUUUGUCGCGUCUGCUGUGAAAUCCCGAGGCUCAACCUCGGGCCUGCAGUGGGUACGGGCAGACUAGAGUGCGGUAGGGGAGAUUGGAAUUCCUGGUGUAGCGGUGG